rnacentral:tRNA from 1 species
CAGACAGAAGCCCGCUGGAUUGGGUAUUUAGCUGUUAAUUAAAUUUUUGUGGGAUCAAGGCCCGCCUGUCUAG